UCUCCUGUAGCUCAGUGGUAGAGCGUCCGACCAGUGUGCGGAAGGUCAUCAUUAGAUUCUACUCCUUUUGGGAGAA